rnacentral:rRNA from 1 species
AUUGAACGCUGGCGGCAUGCCUAACACAUGCAAGUCGAGCGGAGCGGCGGACGGGUGAGUAAUGCCUCGGAAUCUGCCUGGUAGUGGGGGAUAACGUCCGGAAAGGGUCGCUAAUACCGCAUACUAUCAGAUGAGCCUAUGUCGGAUUAGCUAGUUGGUGGGGUAACGGCCUACCAAGGCGACGAUCCGUAACUGGUCUGAGAGGAUGAUCAGCCACACUGGAACUGAGACACGGUCCAGACUCCUACGGGAGGCAGCAGUGGGGAAUAUUGGACAAUGGGGGAAAGCCUGAUCCAGCCAUGCCGCGUGUGUGAAGAAGGGCUUCGGAUUGUAAAGCACUUUAGGUUGGGAGGCGUUACCAGCAGAAUAAGCACCGGCUAACUUCGUGCCAGCAGCCGCGGUAAUUC